rnacentral:rRNA from 1 species
GGCCUACCAUGGNNNUAACGGGUAACGGGGUGUUAGGGCACGACACCGGAGAGGGAGCCUGAGAAACGGCUACCACAUCCAAGGAUGGCAGCAGGCGCGCAAAUUACCCAAUCCCGACACGGGGAGGUAGUGACAAUAAAUAACAAUACGGGGUUCUUUCGGAUCUCGUAAUUGGAAUGAGUACAAUUUAAAUCUCUUAACGAGGAACAAUUGGAGGGCAAGUCUGGUGCCAGCAGCCGCGGUAAUUCCAGCUCCAAUAGCGUAUAUUAAAGUUGUUGUAGUUAAAAAGCUCGUAGUUGAAUUUCGGGAUCAAAUUGUCGGUCGUGCCUCGGUACGUACUGGCGUUAUUGGUUCCUCCCUUCUGAAGAACCACGAUGUCAUUAAUUUGGUGUCGCGGGGAAUCAGGACUGUUACUUCGAAAAAAUUAGAGUGUUUAAAGCAGGCUCGCUCUUGAAUACAUUAGCAUGGAAUAAUGAAAUAGGACGUUUGAUUCUAUUUUGUUGGUUUCUAGGAUCGACGUAAUGAUUAAUAGGGAUAGUUGGGGGCAUUAGUAUUCAAUUGUCAGAGGUGAAAUUCUUGGAUUUAUUGAAGACUAACUACUGCGAAAGCAUUUGCCAAGGAUGUUUUCAUUAAUCAAGAACGAAAGUUAGGGGAUCGAAGACGAUCAGAUACCGUCGUAGUCUUAACCAUAAACUAUGCCGACUAGGGAUCGGAUGAUGUUAAUUUUUUAAUGACUCAUUCGGCGCCUUAUGGGAAACCAAAGUGUUUGGGUUC